CCCAGACUGAGGCCGAGCGGAGACCGAGCUAGACCAGAGCGACGAGGGGGAGCAGCGCGAGGCUUAAAACGAGAAAGAAGAAAGAACAGGGAGCGGCCGGUCCCUGAGAUGGGCUGUCGACCCAAAGAGAGGAAAGCCAGCUGCCCCUCACUUUGCACUCUGCCAAAGCAGGCCAGCCUGCCAGGCCUCUGGGGACAGGUGUCCUGCCCAACUGGAGAAUCUCCCCGAGGGCUUACCUGGGAAACACCUGUCACUCAACCAGGCGAUUUACUCCAACUUCAAGUCCAGCUUGUUAAAAAGUAGAAGACUGUCUACAUCGCAGAUGGAAGGAAACCAAGUUGCAGAGAGGCCACAGUUGAUAGAGGUCAAGAUGGAGGAGGGCUUGCUUUCCUGGGUUGGCCUGGACACCUGCAUUGGUGCAGUAGUGCCUCUGUGUAGGGAAGACUGCUUUCCUGCGGGGACAAAGGCCCACCGGAGACAAAGCCAGGCACAAUGUUGGCCUUGUCUGUGAACACGCAGCAAACCUAAGAGGGGAGAGAGAGGUUCACUCUCUUGCUAGUUCCACUCCCAAUCUAGGGGCUACACCCUUAACCUGGAAGUUUCAUAGCUUACUUUAGAAGUCAUUUGAACCUGGAUUAGUCUCCUUCCUGCCUCUUAUCUUGAAAGAACUAAAGUAGAAAUAAACAUAAUUGUCUACUAAGAAACUCCUAGGUGCCAGGUACCACAUCUUAUUUAAAACUCAUACAGCCCUGCGACAUUAACAGGAAAAAAGCCAAAUGUGGUGAUGCAUGCCUGUGAGCCCAGCACUUGGGAGGCUGAGACAGGAAGUUUGCAGCGAGUUCAAGACCAACCUGAACUACACAGCGAGACCCUGUCUCAGGGAAAAAAUAGAUCCCAGUUCAUCGUGCUGCAGUUAAAACCCUGUUUUUCCACAUUAUCUCCAGAACAACUUCUCUCUGCCACUCUUUGGGCAUCUGCCUGACCCACCUCUCUAGCUCCUCAGAUCUGGCACCAGUGGUCCAUGGUUCCUGGGAGGACACUUUGUUAUUGCAGCCAAGCCUAGGGUUGGCAGAGGGCUCUCCUUCCCCAUGGCCCCCUGAGACCGUCAAGCUCUUCUUAUUAAAAUCUAGCAACCCAGAACGGCCUAGUUUUCUUCUGCCCUUUCCCUGUCUCUCCUCCCUAUUUGAGUCCACUUUUAUCCAAAUCCAAUUCUGAGGUGCUGGAAUUCCAGGGUCCACUUGACCUUGGCUAAGGUUCAUCUUCCAGUGGGGCAGGCCACCCUCUCAGUCCCUUCCUAGAAUUCAGGGAGCAGAGGGUCAUGAUUUGCUGGGCUCUGGC
rnacentral:lncRNA from 1 species